rnacentral:rRNA from 1 species
GAUGAACGCUGGCGGCGUGCCUAAUACAUGCAAGUCGAGCGAACGGACGAGAAGCUUGCUUCUCUGAUGUUAGCGGCGGACGGGUGAGUAACACGUGGAUAACCUACCUAUAAGACUGGGAUAACUUCGGGAAACCGGAGCUAAUACCGGAUGAUAUUUUGAACCGCAUGGUUCAAAAGUGAAAGACGGUCUUGCUGUCACUUAUAGAUGGAUCCGCGCUGCAUUAGCUAGUUGGUAAGGUAACGGCUUACCAAGGCAACGAUGCAUAGCCGACCUGAGAGGGUGAUCGGCCACACUGGAACUGAGACACGGUCCAGACUCCUACGGGAGGCAGCAGUCGGGAAUCUUCCGCAAUGGGCGAAAGCCUGACGGAGCAACGCCGCGUGAGUGAGUAAGGUCUUCGGAUCGUAAACCUCUGUUAUUAGGGAAGACCAUAUGUGUAAGUAACUGUGCACAUCUUGACGGUACCUAAUCAGAAAGCCACGGCUGACUACGUG